AUGUUACAUAAACAUAAUCUUAAAUCAAAAAUAAGAAUUAAUCACAAAGCAUUAAAAAUAUAUAUUAAAAUCAUUUCUUCUGUUGUAAAAUGAUCUCAUGUAUUUUCCUAUUUGUCCUGUAAGAUUAUUAGAUGCAUUGGAGAGGACCUUGUUGGAUGGGUUGACUUUUCCUGGCUUUCAUAAACAGCAAUUUUACUUUCAGCUGUAAAUCACAUUCAUUAAGACAAAGUAACCACAGAGACCUCUCUGGCCUCAUUUGUACCCAUAAGUUGACCAUAAAACAGAUAUUUUCAUUAUCAGAGGAUCGCCCUUUCCUAAAAGGAGAUGGAAUAUUUCCAACACCUGGAUUGAAACUUGGGCAAUGGCCCCAGUUAAAUUAAAGCAAAUUCUGUGAUGUCAAAUGAAUGGUCCCCAAAUUUUAUCUUCACAUUGAGAUCGCCUGGGGGAGCUUCAAAAACUACAAAUUCCUGUGAACUGUCCCCAAAGAUUGUGACUGACUGGUCUGGGGUAUGGCCUUGUUUUGGAAUUUUGAAGGUGAUUCUAAUGUGAACAAGUUUGGGAACCACUACCAUUAGUUUCUGUCUUCCUCAGAAAGAGUAGCAGAAAUAUUGAUCUUUCCACCUUUAUCUUGGCAUGGAUUUGUGGAAUGUUACGUUGACUCUAAACUGGAAUUUAGAUCUUGGCUUUCUUGCACUUGUCUGUAAAGGAUUGCAGCUAAGAGUGAUAAUGCUUUCUUAGUCUUUCAUGACCUGUGUGUCAAGACCUGAGACUGGGAUCGAUUCCAACAAAAGUUUUGAUAGCAAAUUUACCACUAAAUGGGAAAGUUGAAAAAGAGUAAGAAAAACAUUUGUUGUUUUUUUAUCCCUCCCAUCCCUACCCUCCAAAACAUAGCUGAAUUGAGCAGGAUGAAUUAUAACUCUAUAUUAGUUGAAAAUCAUAACAUGAUGUGAUUUAUUAGCUGAAGAGACCCAUCAGAGCAAGCUCUAGUGAAGUACCAGUUACAUGAUCUUGUAAUGAAGACGUUUAUGAGAAAGAAGACACACAACACUUACUAAUAUUGCUCUGUGGCGACUUCACCAAAUGUUCUUCCCAGAGCAUAGAAUGCAAUUCAAAACCAUCGGUUUCUUGGGGCCAGCCCAGUGGUGCAGCGGUUAAGUUCACAUGUUCUGCUUCCGCGGCCCGGGGUUCGCCAGUUUGGAUCCUGAGUGUGGACUUAUGCACUGCUUGUUGAGCCACGCUGUGGCAGGCAUCCCACAUCUGGGCUACGAUGCUGUGUUCUUUAGGUACCUCAGCUGCCUUAGGGCCCAGAAGCGUUUGCUGAAUGUGACUUCCCCUCCUUCUGAGUAUGUUUGCGUCUGCUGAGCAAGUCCCGCUGCCUCCUCUGGCUCCUGCUGCUGUCUCCCACUGAGCAC
rnacentral:lncRNA from 1 species